ACGGAGGAUGCGAGCGUUAUCCGGAUUUAUUGGGUUUAAAGGGUGCGUAGGCCGAUCGAUAAGUCAGCGGUGAAAUACCAUGGCCCAACCAUGGAACUGCCGUUGAUACUGUGGGACUUGAAUAUGGUCAAGGUAGGCGGAAUGUGUAAUGUAGCGGUGAAAUGCUUAGAUAUGAGGAGGAACACCGGUGGCGAAGGCAGCUUACUGGUCCAUAAUUGACGCUGAGGCACGAAAGCGUGGGGAGCAAACAG
rnacentral:rRNA from 1 species